UACGUAGGCAGCAAGCGUUGUUCGGAGUUACUGGGCGUAAAGGGUGUGUAGGCGGUUGUUUAAGUUUGGUGUGAAAUCUCCCGGCUCAACUGGGAGGGUGCGCCGAAUACUGAAUGACUUGGAGUACGGGAGAGGAAAGUGGAAUUCCUGGUGUAGCGGUGAAAUGCGUAGAUAUCAGGAGGAACACCGGUGGUGUAGACGGCUUUCUGGACCGUAACUGACGCUGAGACACGAAAGCGUGGGUAGCAAACAGG
rnacentral:rRNA from 1 species